UACAGAGGUCUCGAGCGUUUGUUCGGAUUCAUUGGGCGUAAAGGGUGCGUAGGUGGCGCUGUAAGUCGGGUGGUGAAAUCCUGGGGCUUAACCCCGGAACUGCAUUCGAUACUGCAGUGCUUGAGGACUGGAGAGGAGACUGGAAUUCAUGGUGUAGCAGUGAAAUGCGUAGAGAUCAUGAGGAAGACCAGUGGCGAAGGCGGGUCUCUGGACAGUUCCUGACACUGAGGCACGGAAGGCCAGGGGAGCAAAACGGGG
rnacentral:rRNA from 1 species